rnacentral:lncRNA from 1 species
GUUCACGGUGCUAAGAGCUGGCUGAUGGAGUGGGGGUGGGAGAAGGGAGGAAAAUGGGAGGAGGGAGAUUUUCUAAGCAAAUGGCUUCUUGGAUCAUUGGAGGGACAUUAAGAAGCCUCCCGGAGCACCUCAGAGCACCUAAAACCAAUGUCUCCUGCAAAUGGAUGGAAGGCCAUCAGCUGUGGACCUGCAGCUGUGGCCAGCAGCUCGGGUUGCUAGGAAACAGCCCUGAAAAUGUUUUGUCUUCCUGCUUCUGAUCUGGAUACACCUGGGAUUUUCAUGUCUAGGGCCACUGCCAGCCGGUUGUUCGGGCAACAAGGGCCGGUGGAAGAGGAAAGGGGUCCAGUCGAGUUCCAGGGCAUCUUAUAGACAUCAGACAGUUCUGGGUGAGAUGAGCUGUCAAUCAGCUGAAGAUAGCCCAUUUGGACCCUGGAGCUGAUUGGUCCUGAGCCUAGUACUUCCUGCCCCAUGGCCCCUCCUCACUCUUCUCUGAGUUUCUCUCCACCCUGAUACCCCCAGGAGCAUCUUCUGCUGACCACGCCCAUGCUCUUUCGGGGAUAGAGAUCUGAGAAUGGAUCCAGGGCCUCACAUGUAGCAGGGAUGCCGAGUAGUUGGGGCACACUCGCUCCCAUGGCUACUUCCCACGUGCUUCUUCUUUAGCCUCAAAGGAAUCUUCCUUGCAACCAGUCAAGUCCAUGAUACCUCUUGGGGGAAAGGUGUUUACCUGCACCAUCCACCAGAGAGUAGGACAAAGAAAGACUCGGUGUCUUAAUGGUUUGGUGGAGUGGCAGGAAAAGCCCUCAAAGGACCAGAGGUGACGAUGGCUCAAGACUGAAGGAAGACUGGGGAAGACUGAGAUGAAGAUCGGUGAAGGAAGCACAAAUGUAGUGCAAGAAACAGAAGAUCCCACACAGCUGCCAUGAAGCUGAGAGGCAGAGGCAAAGCCUUACCUGGAGCCUAGGGUCCGGACUGGACUGUAGCCCUGCCAUGCCUGUGCCCUCUUCCCUGUAGCCAGUGGCUUUUCCCUCCCCACGUUCUGGCUCCUCUGUGAAGGCCACAACACUAGAACUUUCAGGCUCUGCAUGGCCUGGAUGAUGGGAUUCUUUCUGCAAUUCCACAACUUUUGAUAAAACUAACAAGUUCAAGCCGGGCAUAGUGGCACAUGCCUUUAAUCCCAGCACUCGAGAGGCAGAGGCAGGCAAAUUUCUGAGUUUGAGGCCAGCCUGGUCUACAAAGUGAGUUCCAGGACAGCCAGGGCUAUACAGAGAAACCCUAUCUCGGAAAAAACAAAACAAAACAAAACAAAACAAAAAACUAGCAAGUUCACUGCUGGUUGCCUGGAAGAUUAUCUCUGUAGGAUUCCCCAUGUUAACAUUGGCAACAUUCUAAAAGAGUCUCUGUAGGACACACUCUAGUCCAUAUCUGCCACUGUGACAGAACACUAUAGACUAGGUAAAGUAGGAGGAGCAGAGGUCUAUUUCUUAAGCUCAUAGAAGCAAGCAAGCAUGACAAUGGAGGAAUGCACCUGGUGAGGCCCCGCUUGCUGCACUAGAAUAUGGCACAGGGCACCACAUAGUAAGAGGGAGCUAGUGAUCUGUCUGAUGCCCUCAAAUCCCUUUAGAGGGGGUGUAAACUCACCCACCAAGGUGGGGUAUAAACCUUAUAAGCUGGGCACCCUCCCAUGGUUGUGUGGAGUAAUCACACUACGGACACAUGAGCCUGGGAUCGCACUCACAUCACAGCAGGGCCACACUGCCCUUUGUUACUGUUGUUGGGGUCUGGCCAAUGAGGGAAUAUGGUGCCAUUCAUACAAAACCCACUAAGGAACUCAGUCAUGUUCUACAGAGUUUCUGUGAGCAACAACAACAGGCCACAAAGCACUCAUAGCCUCAUAGAUCACCCAAUUUCAAGAACUAAUAAGCAGUAGAAAUAGUGUCCAACACAGACACAGGAGAGCCCAAAGCUUAGAUGCCUACCUUUCCAUAAAAUCACCUUGAUGCCAAAUGUGAUGGGAAAGAACUGUCAUCCCAACACUUAGGAGGUUCACAAGUUGGAAAAUAGCCUGGGUUAGCAAGUGAGAUUUUUGUCUCAGAAAGACAUCUCUCAAAAGCAAAGCACAAAAGCUGGUCCCUGGGUUUUCUGACUCCUGAGAGUCCCUGGGAAGUAAAAUUCCCAGUGUGUCUGUCACUUUUAUUACACAAAGAAUGUCCCCGUCCUAAGAGUCCUAGCAGGGGCUUCUGCCCGUGCUUUGAGUUCACCUGCACAGGCAUGAGACACAGAAUGACUCUCCAGGCAGAUUUCCUUCCUGGAGCUAUUCUCCCACACAGAUUGGAGCAGCCUGAUUAAUCAGAAGGGAUGCUGUGGAGAAUGCCAUCAGACAUCUUCCACCCCCUUCCAGCAGGGGAGGAAGCCUCCAGUCACUCUCUGGCUGCAAUCAGAGCUUCCUGCUUGAGCAUGAAGGUGAGAUGGUAAUGAGCACCAUCACUGCCUGGAGGAGGACUCCCUCCACGAGCCUGCUUCAUGAAGGCUACCACGUAAAUCACGCCGGGCUCCAGCGCCAGCACAGGCCCCGCACCCCCAUGUGUGGGGGUUAGAGAACCAGCCGAGUCUAUGCCGAUCCUCACCUGUGGGUUGAUUGCAGUAGUUAUGGGUUAAUUCACUCUCAGACUUGGAGGAGUCAUGUGCACGGAUGUUCUUGCCAUUAUUGUAAAUGUGAGUCAUUUCACCUUCACGGCCCAGGCAUGUAAGAAGACCGUUGAUCGAAGCAAGCAGAAUCAUCCUGGCUCCGCUGGUGCUUUGUGGGAAUGUACUUUCAAAGAGAUGAGUUCGCUUUGAUAUUAGAGUUAAGUUUCCCCUGAGUCAAGGGCUUAUUCCCUCAUCCUCUGAACAAAUAUUUAUUGAGUAUCAUGUACUAUCUGAGAGAGCAUCUCUAGACCUGGCAGUGUGGCCACAAACAGGGCAUGGCUUCGGCUUCUGCUCUGGUAGGGCUGACAUUGGGGUUCUAUUUGGGAUGUGAAGAGCCUGUUUCUUCCGUUCUCAGGAGGCCAUUCAGAGCUUGGGAGCUAUCCUUAUAAACCGAGACAGGAGAAUCACGUUUUGGAAGUCAGCCUCAUAACUUGGCAUCUCUCAAUCAGGGAGAAAACAAAAUGUCUUAGCAAACAGGAGUCAGUGAUCUUGAAGUAGGCAGAGCAUUGCUGAGCAGAUCGACUGGCUGAGAGGCACAGCAGGUCUGUCUAAACUCCAGUUUCCUCCUCAACUUCCUGGUGCUCUGACAUUAGACUGGUCAAGGUCAACCUCUGAGCCACUAUGACACUUGGAAUCCAAAGUGCUUGAUGCCUGAUGCUUAGCAGAGCCUCUGGCCCAAUGAUCUCCACUCAUCCUCCAUGGGCGGGAGACUCAAAAUGCUACCAGUGGCGCCAGUUUACCUGCUUCUAACCUCUCCCUCCUAGAACUUUCAAAGUUUCAUAGUGUACUCUGGUACACUAUGGAAAUACACCACUGCUUCUUUAGCCCUGGUUACAAUACAGUUUCCUCCCAGCUGGGUCCAGCUGAAGCUCCUUGUAAGCCAUCAGGUCCUUAAAGCCACAUUUGCUCUGCUGGCCUUGCCAGUGCAAGAACAGGCAGGAAAACUCACAAUCGGGGCCUCACAGCCAGACAAGGCAGCUUCCUCAACUGCUGACAGAAUCAUGGCAGCUUCCCAG